GCCUAAUACAUGCAAGUCGAACGAGAUCUUCGGAUCUAGUGGCGCACGGGUGCGUAACGCGUGGGAAUCUGCCCUUGGGUUCGGAAUAACUUCUGGAAACGGAAGCUAAUACCGGAUGAUGACGUAAGUCCAAAGAUUUAUCGCCCAAGGAUGAGCCCGCGUAGGAUUAGCUAGUUGGUGGGGUAAAGGCUCACCAAGGCGACGAUCCUUAGCUGGUCUGAGAGGAUGAUCAGCCACACUGGGACUGAGACACGGCCCAGACUCCUACGGGAGGCAGCAGUAGGGAAUAUUGGACAAUGGGCGAAAGCCUGAUCCAGCAAUGCCGCGUGAGUGAUGAAGGCCUUAGGGUUGUAAAGCUCUUUUACCCGGGAUGAUAAUGACAGUACCGGGAGAAUAAGCUCCGGCUAACUCCGUGCCAGCAGCCGCGGUAAUACGGAGGGAGCUAGCGUUGUUCGGAAUUACUGGGCGUAAAGCGCACGUAGGCGGCUAUUCAAGUCAGAGGUGAAAGCCCGGGGCUCAACCCCGGAACUGCCUUUGAAACUAGAUAGCUUGAAUCCAGGAGAGGUGAGUGGAAUUCCGAGUGUAGAGGUGAAAUUCGUAGAUCUUCGGAAGAACACCAGUGGCGAAGGCGGCUCACUGG
rnacentral:rRNA from 1 species